GGGAAUUUUCCGCAAUGGGCGAAAGCCUGACGGAGCAAUACCGCGUGAGGGAGGAAGGCUCUUGGGUUGUAAACCUCUUUUCUCAGGGAAGAAAAAAAUGACGGUACCUGAGGAAUAAGCAUCGGCUAACUCCGUGCCAGCAGCCGCGGUAAUACGGAGGAUGCAAGCGUUAUCCGGAAUGAUUGGGCGUAAAGGGUCCGCAGGUGGCAUUGUAAGUCUGCUGUUAAAGAGUUUGGCUCAACCAAAUAAAAGCAGUGGAAACUACAAAGCUAGAGUUUGGUCGGGGCAGAGGGAAUUCCUGGUGUAGCGGUGAAAUGCGUAGAUAUCAGGAAGAAC
rnacentral:rRNA from 1 species